ACUUGGUUAUAUACACAGGGUACCAGGUAAUAACAUGGCUAUAUACACAGGGUACCAGGUAAUAACAUGGCUAUAUACACAGGGUACCAGGUAAUAACUAGGCUAUAUACACAGGGUACCAGGUAAUAACAUGGCUAUAUACACAGGGUACCAGGUAAUUACUUGGUUAUAUACACAGGGUACCAGGUAAUAACAUGGUUAUAUACACAGGGUACCAGGUAAUUACUUGGCUAUAUACACAGGGGUACCAGUUAAUUACUUGGCUAUAUACACAGGCUACCAGGUAAUAACUUGGCUAUAUACACAGGGUACCACUACCAAGUCAAUGUGUAGUGGUAGAGGUAAUAACAUGGCUAUAUACACAGGGUACCAGUACCAAGUCAAUGUGCAGGGGUACGAGGUAAUGGUACGAGGUAAUUUACCCCUACCUAUAUGUACAUAUAGGUAGGGGUAAAGUGACUCGGCAUCAGGAUAGAUAAUAGACAGUAGCAGCAGCGUACGUGAUGAGUCAAAAGAGUUAGUGCAAAGUGGGUCAGUGCAGAUAGUCCAGGUAGCUCUCUACAGUGGAGGUCCUGGAUGGCAGGAAGCUCAGCCCCAGUGAUGUACCGGGCUUUCCUCUGACACCGCCUGGUAUAGAGGUCCUGGAUGGCAGGAAGCUCAGCCCCAGUGAUGUACCGGGCCUUUCCUCUGACACCGCCUGGUAUAGAGGUCCUGGAUGGCAGGGAGCUCGGCCCCAGUGAUGUACCGGGCCGGGCCCAGUACCGUCAUUAGCGCCUGGCGGUCGGUCGGAUGCCGAGCAGUCGCCAUACUAAGCGGUGAUACAGGCUGUUGAACGUUUUGAGGAUCUGAGGGCCCAUGCCAAAUCUUGGCAAUCUUGGCAAUCUUGGCAAUCUUCUCUUUAGAAGAGGCGUUGUGGUGCUGGUGUGUGUGGACCACGAUAGUUCCUUAGUGAUGUGGACACCGAGGAACUUAUAAAGCUCUCGCUCCACUACGGCCCCCUUCAAUGUGGAUGGGAGGCGUGCUCACUUCUCCAUUUCCUGUAGUCCACGAUCAGCUCCUUUUUGUCUUGUAACACCCCCCCCCUCUCCUUCAAAAUCGUCACCCUGACCUUCAAAAUAGGCUAUUUGGCAUUGUGAUGUCAUAAUCUCCCCAAAUCCGGUCUGAUCCUGUGGUGUUGUGAGGGAUUUAUUCUAUGGCUUCAUCUAUGGGGUUGGACCUGCCUCUCGUAGGCUGUUUCCUAGUAGCUCCUGAGCUUCGUUAUGAAAGAGAGAUCCGUGGUUCCAGCAGCUCGCUGCCUGUCAGUACUGCUGAGGGGGGGGGAAACACAUCUCUUCUUUGUUGUUGCUGCACUUUCCUCCUCCUGCUGCUGCUGCUGCUGCUGCCGCCACUGGCUGGGGGUGGGACUGCAGCGGUCAUCCGGGCUAUGGAGCAAGACUCAGGAUUUACAUAAUCCACACUGUGAAUUAACGACUGAAGUCUAAAUGCUCACAUUCUCCCUUGGAGAGGGGGAGGGGAGAGAGAGAGAGGGAGGGGAGAGAGAGAGGUGGGGAAGAAAGAGACAGAGAGAAUGAGACAGAGAGAGGGAGCGUUGGAGAGAGAGAGAGGUAGGGGAGAGAGAGAGAGAGAGAAUGAGACAGAGAGAGGGAGCGUUGGAGAGAGAGAGAGGUAGGGGAGAGAGAGAGAGAGAGAGAGAGAGAGAGAGAGAGAGAGAGAGAGAGAGAGAGAGGUGGAGAGAGAGAUGUGGGGGUGGUGAGACAGACUACAGGCUGCUGCCAGUGUUAUUCCAUUGUGCUGUCACUUCCUGCUCUAGGAACAUGUUGGAUUACAAAUCAGUCAUUAUAUAUGCAGUACCCAGUUUAGAUCACAGCCCUCUUCAGAGGAGGCAGUACUUCAGAGGAAGAGGGAGAGGUACAGGGAAUCUUCUAGUUCUCAUUACAGUAUUCUGCCUGUUUUGUUUUGUUAGUGUCACUGACAAUGUGUUACUGGCGUAUGAUGAUGUUGUUGUGUAACGUCCCAGGGACCCCAACAACCACUGUGAAAAC
ensembl:lncRNA